rnacentral:rRNA from 1 species
CCCUUAGAUGUUCUGGGCCGCACGCGCGCUACACUGAUGCAUUCAACAAGCCUAGCCUUGACCGAGAGGUCCGGGUAAUCUUUGAAACUGCAUCGUGAUGGGGCUAGAUUAUUGCAAUUAUUAAUCUUCAACGAGGAAUGCCUAGUAAGCGUGAUUCAUCAAAUCGCGUUGAUUCCGUCCCUGCCCUUUGUACACACCGCCCGUCGCUCCUACCGAUUGAAUGUGUUGGUGAGGAGCUCGGAUUGGCAGCAGUUGGUGGUUCGCCACCGGCUAUUGCUGAGAAGUCCUCCAAACCGCCCCAUUUAGAGGAAGGAGAAGUCGUAACA